UCGUUAAAAAGAAAAAAGUGGAUGCGGACGAUCCCCCCCUUGCAUCUCAGGAACGAAAAUCUCCCCCGCGGCCCUCACUCCUGCGCCUCGACGCCUCCGCCCGCCGCCCCACGCCUCGCAUGGCUGGACGCCGCCGUCUGCACCUACACGUGUUUCUGCGCCCCCUGCCGCCGCCGGCGCCCUUCGCCUCCCCCCUCCUCCCUUACACUCCCACCUCCUCCCCUCGUUUCUUCACCACGGCGUUGUGGCGCAGUACCGGGAAGACUUGGUUGCAGGACGCGGCGCAACUACAUGGUGCUCAUCGGCGCGACGGCUUCGUCAUCAACAGCACGCUAUGGCGGGUCAUGCUCGGCACCACCACGCUUGUCGGCCGAUCCAAGGCAAGGCGGCGUCGUUAGCAUGAGUCGUAGCAGAUGUAUGAGGAUGCGUGGAAGGCCAACAUCCCAGACUUCAGCACUCUCUUUGUUCCAUCGAGGACACCAUCACAGAGAGGAAGAGAGGAGCUUACUGUAGGAUGGAAUGUAGCCACGAUAUCCUGGCCGGUGAUGCUACCUGAAGAUCAUGCAAAAAAUUGUCAUGUUAGGGCAUUGUUGGCAUGGGAACACCGAACCAGCAUGUGUGACGACGGCGUCUGGCAGGUUUUGACCACAACCCACUUUACAGGUGGACAGGUAGGGUCAACCGCGUGACUGGGUGAUGUGGUGCACGAGUAGGCUAGGAGGACUGCAGUUGAGAGAAGAUAAUGCCAUAUUGUCAUCUUGACUGAAGGUUGGGCACCUGACGAUGCUUGUCAAUCAGAACUCUGAAAGUAUAUUGUGUGAUGUUUGUCAACCAGAACUCCGUAGGUUCUAUGUCUUACACUUUUGACUUACAUACAUUACUGAAUUAAAGAGAUAGCAAUGUUCAGGAGAAGAUGCAGUGCUGCAAAACAACUCAUCAUUCUCAUAGUAGCUAGCAAAUCAUUUUAUAUUAUAUGAGUUAUUCUACUCUUCAUCUGUAAUAUUACUAUUUUCGGAUAGUUGUAGUAUUUAUUUCUGUUCAGUUUUAAUACUAGAAUA